CCGCCCGUCACACAUGGGAGUUGGAUUCACUCGAAGGCGUUGAGCUAACUCGCAAGAGAGGCAGGCGACCACAGUGGGUUUAGCGACUGGGGUG
rnacentral:rRNA from 1 species